CGUAAGCCACACUGGUAUGUGUGUUUCGUUGGGAUCUCGUUUCGUUUCGUUUUUUUUUCCUGUUUCCACGCAGGUUUAAUUACCACGGAAGACUCGAAGACUCCGCAAAGAGAGCAGCAGAGCAGCCAAGGAAGAGAGAGGGGAUCCGCAGAUCGAAUCGGAAUUGGAAUCUCGGUUUUAGCAUUUGCAUGGAGACCGACUGAAGCUCGACCGGACCCUCGUGAGCGAAGUGAGAGGGCUGGAAAGAUAGUGAGAGAGGAUCAAAGUGCGGAAAGUGUUGUCAGUGCGGAAAAGAGGCCGUGAUCUACUACAGGUUAUGUUAAGUAGAAAGUCAGGGGUGCCAAACACAUACGGACUGUGACUGCUACCGGGGGGCGUGGCACCACCAUUCAUGCUGUGCGAUCACAUUACGUCGUAAUGCGCUUCCGUUUUCUUCUGUCCGCUCCUCCCCUCACCCACCUACUUUCGGUGCUAAUGUGAGGCUGCGCAAAGGCGCCGCCACCGCCACCGCCACCGCCACCAUUCAUAUUGAUUUGGUAAGUCGGGGAGGACCAGUCCCAAUCUUCAUUCCGAACUCAGGCCAAUCCAAAUCCCAGCCUGCAAUUACACUUCCGCCCAAGAAAGAAACAAGGAAAGACGUACACAAAAAACCGACAACGAAACGAAACUCGAAACCAACUUGCGAUCUCCAGAGCUCUCCGCCAUUCAGACUCUCUGUCUCUGUCUCUGUCUCUGAAUCUAAGGCUCAUUCACAGAUCGAGAGCCCAUUCCGUGGCCUAUUCAUUCAUUCAUUCAUGUUGAUUGCCACCUUUGGGCAGCCCUGCCUCUCCAUCAGCCUCUCCAAUCUCUCGGCCGCGCGCUGCCGUGGGGCAGCAGCAACAGACUCUUACUCUCUUGUGGCUUCAAUGAUUAGUCUGUGCUAAUGAACAGGCGGCGGCAGCGGCUACCUAGCGCGCAAAAAAAAACACCAAACACCGAAGAAACCGAAAAAAGCGACUUAACGGAGACCCCAAGACGGCAGCAGCAGGGCAGCAAGCAAACAGAAAUCAAAUCCAAUUUAUGUUUUCAACAUUAAUCAUAAUUUUUUUUUGUUUUUUUUUGGGGCCCUCUAUUCCGUGUAGCCGUAGCGUGAAAUAUUUUUAUGCGCCGUUUUUACGGUUCCAAAGAGCAGAAAAACUCGAAUUGGAAUCGGAAUUUGGAAUCUGUGGGGGGAAAAACUCAAUGGAUCUUCCGCAUGAGAAAAAGGUGUCAAUGUCUAAUUUUGUGAUGCAUUUUCUGUUUUCCUCAUUAUGAAAAUUAUAGAGUGGAUCAUCUGGGGGAGAACUGGAUCAGUGGAUCAUUAUUAAUGGUGUGCGAGAGAAUCGAUACGAUUGCUUUGGCCAUGAGAAAUCCCCACCAAAGAAAAUUGAAAGAUCUAAAGAAAUGAUUUCCAAUUUCAUAUUUCUUAUGUGGAGUAAAUUCAAGAUAAGUUUUAAGCAUGUUUUAUAUGGGAAAAAUCAACUUGUAUUCCUUGCUUAAUUAACAGAUCAGACAUUUUGAUAUUUCUGUAGUUUUAUCCCUGAUGUCUUGGGUCAUUCUAAGUACAGGUCAUUUCAUUUUAAGUCGGUAGCAGCACAACGGUGAUGCCAGUUACGAGAAGAAACGAGGAUAGAUCUGUUCUGUGGAGGAGAACCACUUGAAAAGCAAUUUUUGUUGAAAUUUAUUUUCCAUUUAUUGCUUUAUUUAUUCUUCUACCUUUUUACCCGACAGUGUGUGGCCCUGGACACCGGUUUGGGCCCUGAUUCUGAUUCUAGUUCUGCGUUCUAUCUGCUUAUGCGAUUAGUGAGGUCUAAAGGAGGAGCUCUCCCAUAAGAUGACGAUACUGUCGAUGAGGAUUGAGGAUGGGACUGCGACUGCCACGAUGACGAUGAUGAUGCUGCUCUUGCUCUCCUCUCGUUGUGUGUUUAUUAUUGUUUGGACCCAGAGACCUUUUUGUUUGUAUGCAUUUUCGAUGAAUAAAAAACGAAGACGACCACGAAGGGAAUCUGGUCUCAAUGGGCGCACAACAGCAUCCAUGGGUCGAGGCACAACAAUCGAAAGUAAUAAUGAAAUCCCAUCAACAGGCAGUAAAGAGAAUGAGAAGCAGGAACAACAAAAGAGAUGCGAGAUGCCCGGGGACAGGGACAGAGCCCUCUUCUGGCUAGUGCCCACCAUUCUCCCAUUCCCAUUCUUAUUUCCAAUUCCUUUUUCGGUUUUGCAGCAGAAUGAGAAUGAAGGAACGACGGACGUCUCGGACGACACUUGCCUUGAUUUUUAUUAUGGCUCUGGUCUCAGGGCUUUUCCUUCCCCUUACAUUUUUCUGCCUUUUGAUUUAUUGUUAGCCGGAAAGAGCGAGCCAUGUUCUGGCUCUAUGGGAUCUCUCUGGGAGUGCGAUCUCGGGUCGGCUUCGGCUUUUUCAAGUGAAAUUUCAAGAAAAGUUUCUAUUCUUGUAGACAGUUCAUUAGUGCCAUCAACAAGUUGGGUGGGGGACAUAAAGGAUGAUGGGACCUAACCCUACCCCAUGCUUCCUACACACCCUAGUUACCGCACCAACAACAACUACAACAGCUGGGAGGCAGCUUUCCAAUUGCAGGAGGAGGUUUGUGUCCCAGCUAAAGUCCGAUGUGCAACAUGCAACAUGCAACACUUGUUCGAUGACCCAGAAAGUAACGGCGAUUGACGACUGGUGGGGACAGUGGCCAUUCGCCAAACUGGUGAGCCGCCCACCCAAAAAAGGACAUAACCACAUGACUGUCAAUGCAGCGAGGAGGAGAAGGAGGGGAUGGGGGAUUGUUGUCAACUGGAAUCGAUCGAUAUGGCUCUGACAUUUAUGGACAGCGCUGACCAGAUGAACUACUUUCAAGCUACUUGCAACGCGAAGCAGGCAGUCAAUAUACCGUUAAAAAGACGCGA
rnacentral:sRNA from 1 species